CGGGUGGCUGUGACCCUGCUGGAGUGCGGGGGGGACCUCCAGCCCCCCGGGGGCUCCCUGCGCCUCCUCUGCCGAGGGGCCGGGUUCAGUUUCAGCAGUUAUGGGAUGAACUGGGUGCGCCAGAGACCCGGGCAGGGGCUGGAAUGGGUCGCGGGGAUCACCAACAAUGCUGGUUGGACCGGAUACGUGCCAUCGGUCAAGGGCCGGUUCAGGAUCUCCAGGGACAACGGGCAGAGCUCGGUGACGCUGACCAUGAACAACCUCAAGGACGAGGAUUCCGCCACCUAUUUCUGUGCCAAAUCUUACAGCACUGGUAGCGCUGCUGCUUAUACUGACCAUGCCAGUGGUGGCAUCACCAUUUCUGAGCCCCUCCUGUUCCCAAAUCUCUGA